GCUUUUCUGCGGCUCAGUCAGUAGAGCAUUACAUUAACAACACAAAGGCUGUGGGUUCAAACCCCAGGGAAAGCA